rnacentral:rRNA from 1 species
CUGCGCAAUGGGCGAAGCCUGACGCAGCGACGCCGCGUGGGGGAUGAAGCUUCUCGGAGUGUAAACCCCUUUCGACUGGGACGAAUGUCCGCCUCUGGCGGAAGUGACGGUACCAGUAGUAAGAAGCCCCGGCUAACUACGUGCCAGCAGCCGCGGUAAGACGUAGGGGGCCAGCGUUGUUCGGAAUUACUGGGUGUAAAGGGUUCGUAGGCGGUGCGGCAAGUCGGGAGUGAAAUCUCUGGGCUUAACCCAGAGGCUGCUUCCGAAACUGCUGUGCUCGAGUGUGGGAGAGGCGCGUGGAAUUGCAGGUGUAGCGGUGAAAUGCGUAGAUAUCUGCAGGAACACCCGUGGCGAAAGCGGCGCGCUGGACCACAACUGACGCUGAGGAACGAAAGCUAGGGGAGCAAACAGGAUUAGAUACCCUGGUAGUCCUAGCCCUAAACGAUCAGGACUUGGGGUGCCGCCCGUUCGGGCGUCGUCCCGGAGCUAACGCGUUAAGUCCUGCACCUGGGGAKACGUCGCAGA